CCCAGGUGUAAAGGGUUGCCUUGCCUGGAGAGGGACUACAGAAGAUGAAGAUGCCUCACCCCGCUGGGCUUUCACCAGACCUCCACAAACCAGGAGACAGUGAGGGGACGCCCCAGCCGCUGGAGAGCAGGCGCUGGAGCCACCCGGCGCGACGUGCGGUUCCAGAACACCCUGAGUGCCACCUACCUUCACGUCACUGCGGGUGCUGCUGCUUCUGACGACAGUAGGCUUCCACUUGGCCCGGAGCUUCUCUCCUUCCUCCAAGGCGCGGAAGCACCUCCCCAGAAGCCGGCUCAGGCCUCGGUCUGCGGAGCUCCCGCCUGUGCGUGCUCCUUGUGCCUUACACACGCAUCUCAUUGCUCGUUGUCAGCAGCGUGGGGAAGGGGAGGCCUUUGAAUUCAGACCACCUGGGCCCAACCUGGCUGCUCCACGAGGUGUGCCCGGGGCCUGUGAGGCAGGAACUUGUGCCUUCACAGAGUUGUGGGACGGA